rnacentral:rRNA from 1 species
UAACAAGGUCUCCGUUGGUGAACCAGCGGAGGGAUCAUUACCGAGUUUACAACUCCCAAACCCAAUGUGAACGUUACCAAACUGUUGCCUCGGCGGGAUCUCUGCCCCGGGUGCGUCGCAGCCCCGGACCAAGGCGCCCGCCGGAGGACCAACCAAAACUCUUUUUGUAUACCCCCUCGCGGGUUUUUUAUAAUCUGAGCCUUCUCGGCGCCUCUCGUAGGCGUUUCGAAAAUGAAUCAAAACUUUCAACAACGGAUCUCUUGGUUCUGGCAUCGAUGAAGAACGCAGCGAAAUGCGAUAAGUAAUGUGAAUUGCAGAAUUCAGUGAAUCAUCGAAUCUUUGAACGCACAUUGCGCCCGCCAGUAUUCUGGCGGGCAUGCCUGUCCGAGCGUCAUUUCAACCCUCGAACCCCUCCGGGGGGUCGGCGUUGGGGAUCGGCCCUCCCUUAGCGGGUGGCCGUCUCCGAAAUACAGUGGCGGUCUCGCCGCAGCCUCUCCUGCGCAGUAGUUUGCACACUCGCAUCGGGAGCGCGGCGCGUCCACAGCCGUUAAACACCCAACUUCUGAAAUGUUGACCUCGGAUCAGGU